CCCCUCUCAGGACCACACCUGGAGAGUUUCCAGUAUUCUACCAGUCUCAGCUACAGGAGGAAGAGUAAAGCAGAGGCCUACCCAUUCCACUCCUAGCUUGGGCAGUGGCUAGCGAGUGGAAGGCAAUCAGCUACAAGU
rnacentral:snoRNA from 1 species